GAGAAAGCGUUGAAGAGGAGAAGUAGGAAACCGAUGUUUAACAGAGAGAACCAUCACCGGCUGAAAGUGGUUUAAACCUCUCGGUUUUCGAAAUGCACCUCUGAGCCCGCAUCUGAAAUUUUAGGGGAAAAGUAAGAUGCGGCGGUAGCCCCCGUUAAAGGAAUGAGUUUGGGGAACUGGCCGUUUGGCCGCUGUUCUCAAACAGAGUGGAACCGCGCUGAAAGCGUCUCUGUC
rnacentral:ncRNA from 1 species